rnacentral:rRNA from 1 species
UACGGAGGGAGCUAGCGUUGUUCGGAAUUACUGGGCGUAAAGCGCACGUAGGCGGCUUUGUAAGUUAGAGGUGAAAGCCCGGGGCUCAACCCCGGAAUUGCCUUUAAGACUGCAUCGCUUGAAUCCAGGAGAGGUGAGUGGAAUUCCGAGUGUAGAGGUGAAAUUCGUAGAUAUUCGGAAGAACACCAGUGGCGAAGGCGGCUCACUGGACUGGUAUUGACGCUGAGGUGCGAAAGCGUGGGAGCAAACAGG